ACCCAUAUGGUCUAGUGGUUUUAGGAUAAUCCGCUUUCACCGGAUUGGCCCGGGUUCGAUUCCCGGUGUGGGAA
rnacentral:tRNA from 1 species